UAGAGAAAUCGAUAACCGGGUCC
rnacentral:siRNA from 1 species